UCACGUAUUUCAUCUCUUCGUUUUCACUUUAGCCUCAACCAUUCGCGUUUGUCAUUCAAUUUCAUCUUUUCAUCUUUAGCCUCAGCUGUUCGCCGUUCGCGUUCAAGACCUUAGCCUCAGGUUUCAGCUUCACCUUCCCUCAGUUGUCACUCGACGUUCACGACCUCAGGUUUCGUCUUCAGCCUCAGCCAUUCACGUUCGCCGUUCAAUAACCAUCUCUUCGUCUUUAUCUCUUCAGUCUUCACCUUCCCCUAGUUCUCCCUCCUUCCCUCAACGUCGACGACGACGGUUCCGAUUCCAUUUCCCUCCGUUCAGGUAUCAUCAUAAUGAGCUUGAGCAAGAGCAACGAUUCCAAUGAUGAUGUUGUUGUGAUGCCACCACCAACACCACCACGAAAAGAUGAAAGUGAGGAGACAGUUUCAAAAUGCAAAUGGAAGAAAGAGGAAAAAAUCAUCUAUGAUUGAUGGAAGGGGAAUUCUUCCAGAUAUAAUAUUCUUAGCAAAAUUGCACGAGAUCUUUUAGCAGUUUCGGUAUCUACAGUUGCUUCUGAUUCCGCAUUCAGCACUAGUGGGAGAGUAAUCGAUCCUUUUCGUACCUCAUUAUCUCCAACCACUGUUGAGGCACUUGUAUGUGCACAAAACUAUGUACACAAAACUGGUUACGUUCUGAACAAAUUAGCAUUGGUUUACGACAAUACUUGGAGAAAAUUGAAGAUGAAGAGGAAGUCUUCAUAACAGGAUUGAACGGAGCGGCAAAUGCAAAAAACAAGGAGAAGGAGAAUAAUGAUUGACAAGCGAACAAAUUUGUUUGUAUUGAUUGGACUUUUGGAAUAUGUUACUAUGUUAUUAUUAAGUGUUUGGCUUGUUAUUUGCUUUUAUGUUACUUAAACUUUGAAGAUAGUUGUUUGAAAUUUGUAUAUUGUGUACUUUGGAGAACGUUUUAGUUUUUAACUUUUUCUUGUAGUCAUUUGGACA